GAUGAACGCUGGCGGCGUGCCUAAUACAUGCAAGUAGAACGCUGAAGCUUGGUGCUUGCACCGAGCGGAUGAGUUGCGAACGGGUGAGUAACGCGUAGGUAACCUGCCUCUUAGCGGGGGAUAACUAUUGGAAACGAUAGCUAAUACCGCAUAAAAGUCGAUAUCGCAUGAUAUUGAUUUGAAAGAUGCAAUUGCAUCACUAAGAGAUGGACCUGCGUUGUAUUAGCUAGUUGGUGAGGUAACGGCUCACCAAGGCGACGAUACAUAGCCGACCUGAGAGGGUGAUCGGCCACACUGGGACUGAGACACGGCCCAGACUCCUACGGGAGGCAGCAGUAGGGAAUCUUCGGCAAUGGGGGCAACCCUGACCGAGCAACGCCGCGUGAGUGAAGAAGGUUUUCGGAUCGUAAAGCUCUGUUGUAAGAGAAGAACGAGUGUGAGAGUGGAAAGUUCACACUGUGACGGUAACUUACCAGAAAGGGACGGCUAACUACGUGCCAGCAGCCGCGGUAAUACGUAGGUCCCGAGCGUUAUCCGGAUUUAUUGGGCGUAAAGCGAGCGCAGGCGGUUAGAUAAGUCUGAGGUUAAAGGCUGUGGCUUAACCAUAGUACGCUUUGGAAACUGUUUAACUUGAGUGCAGAAGGGGAGAGUGGAAUUCCAUGUGUAGCGGUGAAAUGCGUAGAUAUAUGGAGGAACACCGGUGGCGAAAGCGGCUCUCUGGUCUGUAACUGACGCUGAGGCUCGAAAGCGUGGGGAGCAAACAGG
rnacentral:rRNA from 1 species